AAUAAAAUAUCUCCCAUUCAAGAUCAGAUUUACAUGAUAAAAGCUUAAUUAUAAUGACUAAAAACACAUUGAUCCAAAAAUUCCCUAAAACUAUUUAAAAUACAACCAACUUCAGAACUUAACACAUUAACCAGUACUAAACUAAACAUUUAUGUUAUUAUAACAAACAUUACUCUAUGAAUAACAGAAAGAUAAGAUAUAUAGUAUAAAUAAAUAAUGAAAUAAUGGAAAGGAUAAGAAAUAACCGUUGGCGACUAUUUUGUUGGAUACAGGGUAUUGUGGUUCUGAGUCAGAAGCUUUAUCGCUGGUGAAGAUGAUUCUCGUCCAUCCAAUGCUGCAAAUUACCGACCCAUUUUAU
rnacentral:lncRNA from 1 species